GACGAACCGAGCGAACGUUGUUCGGAAUCACUGGGCUUAAAGGGCGCGUAGGCGGGCUGUCAAGUCUGGGGUGAAAUCCCGCGGCUCAACCGUGGAACUGCCUCAGAUACUGACGGUCUCGAGGGAGAUAGGGGCGAGCGGAACUAAUGGUGGAGCGGUGAAAUGCGUUGAUAUCAUUAGGAACUCCGGUGGCGAAGGCGGCUCGCUGGAUCUCUUCUGACGCUGAGGCGCGAAAGCUAGGGGAGCAAACAGG
rnacentral:rRNA from 1 species